CGUGAUUUUUUCUAAAAAUUUGUGUGAGUUCGUAUCAUCGAGUAGAUCACGUUCGCAUAUUCAAACUUUACAUUUGAGCAAACUAUGAGGAGUUAUUUUUGGAUUUCGUAUAUGUGCUAACUAAUUAACGUAAAAAUAGUUGUAUCACAUAUAGGUGAGAUGUAUCCCGAGGACGAGAGUGGACAAGCGAAGCUAGGGGCUACGAUCCUGCUACUUAUCAGUGAGUGGGCAUUUGUUUUCUAUGUAUAUAUAUAUAUACAUACAUGGUUUCUAGAAACGUUUUUAUAUGGAAUUAUGCUUUGCUUGCCAUGUCAUAAAUAAGU
rnacentral:lncRNA from 1 species